AACUCAGAACUCAGACACGUACACGGACGGACCGAUGUACCUCACAACAUGAUGAGGCACAAUCGUGGAAACAGGCAGGUCCAGAAAAUGAAGAAUGCUCACGAGUGGAGACAAACAGCUUCAGAUCAAGUAACCCAUUUUAAUCAAGUUGGUAAUAAAAUAAAGAUCAGUAUCUGCCCAGGGAUUAACUUUUGCCAAGUACAUUCUAGCUUCAAAGCAGCAGGCGGCUUCACUGAGGAGCCAAUGGUGGCCAGUGAUGAUUGGCAGGCGGAGGGGCCACACUCAGAGUUGAGCUGAGUUGGAGGGGGAGAGAAACACACCAAAUAUUUCUAUGAGAACGAGCCCAGUGGCCGCGACUCGAUAACUGACAGCACUGCGCAUAACUGAUCUGCCUGUGUGUCUUCCCUGUCCACCCAGAUGGCAACCUCUAGUGGGAGGGCCUUAUUGCAUCUUAGUGAGGCACACAGUGUUUACAGAACAAAUGGCUCCAAUACAUACUUUUAAUUCAGCGCUUAUAGAAGUGUUAACUGAUGCUGAAGUGCCCCCUUGUGGAGGAUGAAGGUAUAGCUAUAUUACGCAUUUCCUGCUCAUUUCUAAGACGAGGGUGUCUGGGCUAUCACUGCACCACUAAAGUUGUUUGUAUGUUAGCAGGGAAAGGCUGGUUGACCGUCAGUGGUGACAUCAAGUCUCCUUUUCACUGCAUCCUCGUCAUACAAGCAAAGCCCUCACACUUAAGUAGUGGCAAAUACCAAUAUGGUGCCAGUUCUUGGCUACUUUGUCAGGAGAUUCAUACACAAAGGACACGUUGAGCGAUGAAAAUCAAUCGGACUUUCAGGCGCCCUCCCUCUGGAACUGAGGCUGCGAGAUCAUACAGGGACACCACCUGUAUCCCUGUCUCACCUUCCACAGGACACCUUUCUGUCUUACUCAGCUUGGCAGAUUCCUGAGAGAGCAAGGCCUGUCGGAUUCAGCCAGGCACACUCUGCAUAGGACUUCCGGGCCUUUUUAUUCACAGUCCUACCUCUAUCCCAAGAUCGUGACAAAGUGAUCCUGCACCUGUCAUCCUUCUGCACCCUGUUCUAAAAGAGAGGACACCAAG